UACAGAGGGUGCAAGCGUUGUUCGGAAUCACUGGGCUUACAGGGUGCGUAGGCGGCUCAACAAGUCAGGUGCGAAAGCCCCCGGCUCAACCGGGGAACUGCGCUUGAAACUGUUAGGCUCGAGUCAGCUAGAGGUACACGGAACUUCCAGUGGAGCGGUGAAAUGUGUUGAUAUUGGAAGGAACACCGGAGGCGAAAGCGGUGUACUGGGGCUGGUCUGACGCUGAGGCACGAAAGCCAGGGGAGCGAACGGG
rnacentral:rRNA from 1 species